GCCCGGGUGGCGGAACUGGCAGACGCAAGAGACUUAAAAUCUCUCGGCCUUGGCCGUACCGGUUCGAUCCCGGUCCCGGGCACCA
rnacentral:tRNA from 1 species